UACCAGCACCCCGAGUGGUCGGGACGAUUAUUGGGCCUAAAGCAUCCGUAGCCGGUUUUACAAGUCCUCCGUUAAAUCCAGCUGCUUAACAGAUGGGCUGCGGAGGAUACUAUAAGACUAGGAGGCAGGAGAGGCAAGCGGUACUCAGUGGGUAGGGGUAAAAUCCGUUGAUCCAGUGAAGACCACCAGUGGCGAAGGCGGCUACCUGGACCAAUACUGACACUCAGGUGCGACAGCGUGGGGAGCAAACAGG
rnacentral:rRNA from 1 species